rnacentral:rRNA from 1 species
GAGUUUGAUCCUGGCUCAGAGCGAACGCUGGCGGCAGGCCUAACACAUGCAAGUCGAGCGGCCGUAGCAAUACGGCAGCGGCAGACGGGAGAGUAACACGUGGGAACGCGCCCUUCGGUUCGGAAUAACGUCAGGGAAACUUGAGCUAAUACCGGAUACGCCCUUACGGGAAAGAUUUAUUGACCGAAGGAACGGCCCGCGUCCGAUUAGCUAGUUGGUGAGGUAAUGGCUCACCAAGGCGACGAUCGGUAGCUGGUCUGAGAGGAUGACCAGCCUCACUGGGACUGAGACACGGCCCAGACUCCUAC